rnacentral:rRNA from 1 species
UAAGCCUGUGAAGGUGUGUCGUGAGGCAUGCUGGAGGUAUCAGAAGUGCGAAUGCUGACAUAAGUAACGAUAAAGCGGGUGAAAAGCCCGCUCGCCGGAAGACCAAGGGUUCCUGUCCAACGUUAAUCGGGGCAGGGUGAGUCGACCCCUAAGGCGAGGCCGAAAGGCGUAGUCGAUGGGAAACGGGUUAAUAUUCCCGUACUUGGUGUUACUGCGAAGGGGGGACGGAGAAGGCUAUGUUGGCCGGGCGACGGUUGUCCCGGUUUAAGCGUGUAGGUGUGUGUUCCAGGUAAAUCCGGUUCACUUUAACACUGAGGCGUGACGACGAGGCACUACGGUGCUGAAGCAACAAAUGCCCUGCUUCCAGGAAAAGCCUCUAAGCAUCAGGUAACAUCAAAUCGUACCCCAAACCGACACAGGUGGUCAGGUAGAGAAUACCAAGGCGCUUGAGAGAACUCGGGUGAAGGAACUAGGCAAAAUGGUGCCGUAACUUCGGGAGAAGGCACGCUGACACGUAGGUGAAGUGAUUUACUCACGGAGCUGAAGUCAGUCGAAGAUACCAGCUGGCUGCAACUGUUUAUUAAAAACACAGCACUGUGCAAACACGAAAGUGGACGUAUACGGUGUGACGCCUGCCCGGUGCCGGAAGGUUAAUUGAUGUGGUCAGCGCAAGCGAAGCUCCUGAUCGAAGCCCCGGUAAACGGCGGCCGUAACUAUAACGGUCCUAAGGUAGCGAAAUUCCUUGUCGGGUAAGUUCCGACCUGCACGAAUGGCGUAAUGAUGGCCAGGCUGUCUCCACCCGAGACUCAGUGAAAUUGAACUCGCUGUGAAGAUGCAGUGUACCCGCGGCAAGACGGAAAGACCCCGUGAACCUUUACUAUAGCUUGACACUGAACAUUGAGCCUUGAUGUGUAGGAUAGGUGGGAGGCUUUGAAGCGUGGACGCCAGUCUGCAUGGAGCCGACCUUGAAAUACCACCCUUUAAUGUUUGAUGUUCUAACGUGGACCCGUUACCCGGGUUGCGGACAGUGUCUGGUGGGUAGUUUGACUGGGGCGGUCUCCUCCUAAAGAGUAACGGAGGAGCACGAAGGUUGGCUAAUCCUGGUCGGACAUCAGGAGGUUAGUGCAAUGGCAUAAGCCAGCUUGACUGCGAGCGUGACGGCGCGAGCAGGUGCGAAAGCAGGUCAUAGUGAUCCGGUGGUUCUGAAUGGAAGGGCC